CUUUUACGCGUCAAGUCGUCAUCGGUUAGCACCAAAUCAUCCAAACAGCGAAACCGCAGGGAAUCCCAGCCUUUCCCCCCAACCUCUUUAAUUCUCAUUCCUCCCUUUCAAAAAAUGAACGCGCAAAAGCCAUUACUACAAAAAUUUUCCUUUUUGGUAUCAGAUUCUGUAAUUUCACCCCAACCACUACUCCAUUGCAAAUUUUCCCUUUUCGUUAGUGUAUUGAGGACGAGAUGUGAUUUGGAUAUGGUUUUGCGACAUGGCGAGGGACGGGUACGUGGUCCCGGCCGACCCUCAGGUGGCAGCGGCCGCCGCCGUCAAGAAAAAGACGCAGACUGCCUGGAGUUGGAUUCUCGUCGACGCUUGUGGACAAGGCACCAUGCUUGAUGCCGACAAGCACGCGAUCAUGCAUCGAGUGCAAAUUCACGCGCGCGAUCUCCGGAUUCUCGACCCGUUGUUGUCGUAUCCCUCUACAAUUCUUGGACGAGAGAGGGCUAUUGUUUUGAACUUGGAGCACAUCAAGGCAAUAAUUACUUCUGAAGAGGUAUUGCUUCGAGAUCCACUGGAUGAGAAUGUCAUCCCAGUUGUGGAGGAGCUUCAAAGGCGAUUACCUCCUGCAAAUCUCAUUCUCCAAGGCCAAGGAGAUGGGAAAGAGAAUCCCAGUGGGCAAAAUGACGUUGAAGCUGGUGAAGAGGAUGAGUCUCCAUUUGAAUUCAGGGCACUGGAGGUAGCUUUAGAAGCCAUCUGUAGUUUUCUAGCUGCACGUACAACGGAACUAGAGACUGCUGCUUAUCCUGCUUUAGAUGAGCUUACUUCCAAAAUUAGUAGCCGUAACUUGGACAGAGUUCGUAAAUUGAAGAGUGCAAUGACGAGGUUGACUGCUCGGGUUCAGAAGGUGAGAGAUGAACUUGAGCAACUGCUGGAUGAUGAUGAUGAUAUGGCUGACCUUUACUUGUCAAGAAAGUUGGCUGGUGCAUCGCCAGUUAGUGGAUCUGGUGGUGCCUAUUGGCUUUCUGCCUCCCCUACCAUUGGUUCAAAAAUUUCUAGGGCAAGUAGAGUAAGUGUGGCAACAGUACAUGGAGAUGAGAAUGAUGUUGAGGAGCUUGAAAUGUUACUAGAGGCCUAUUUUAUGCAAAUUGAUAGCACGUUGAACAAAUUAACUGCGUUGCGUGAAUAUAUUGAUGACACAGAGGAUUACAUUAAUAUUCAGCUUGAUAAUCAUCGAAAUCAGCUGAUUCAGUUAGAGCUCUUUCUAAGUUCAGGAACUGUAUGUUUAUCCUUCUAUUCUUUGGUGGCUGCAAUCUUUGGCAUGAAUAUCCCAUACACAUGGAAUGAUAACCAUGGAUACAUGUUUAAAUGGGUAAACAAAUACUUUCCAUGGGUGAUAUUAGCUGCCCAUUUCAGACUGAUUGUGUACUGAAUUAUGAUGUUUUUGAUAUUGCUAGGUGGUUAUUGUAACUGGAGCAAUUUCCGCUGUUUUGUUCAUACUAAUUAUGUCCUAUGCUCGCUACAAAGGUCUGGUUGGAUCUUGAAAAAAAAGGUCUCUUUGUUCUCGCUAGAGAGAGAUUAUUGAGAUGCUCGGUGGGAAGGUCAGAAGCUGGAUCUGUUGAAAUAGUUGAGUAUGGAGGAAGUUCAUAGUAGUUGUCAAAAGCCUGAUCAUUUGGUUCAGGCACCAACAGUGAUAAUCGUAAAACAACACAGAAUGAGAUAUAUUUGCUUGUCAGUUUUCUGACAGUGAUUCGUAGUUUUCUUUGAUUUUCUUAUAGGCAUAAUUAUAGUCUAUUUUGUUAAUGUAUAACCAUCAUUAUAUUUUUCAAAACAAACAUUGUUUUCAUCACAACAAAAAAAAUUGCUAUUUCUUUUGAAUUAUUAUUCAAGUAAUAUUUUUUGAUAUAGGGGAUUGGGGACAAUGUUGACGGAUAGCAUUGCUUAGACUGUUGAAUAAUGAAUGGUUUAGAGAACUGAAGCAUAGGAUGUAAGUACUAAAUACUGUUGUCUGAAAACAAUUACUGUUAUUAAUUCAAAUGAUUGAAAAGUAGUAG
rnacentral:misc_RNA from 1 species